rnacentral:piRNA from 1 species
UAAUACUGUCUUUCCAAUAAAACACUGC